UACGGAGGGUGCAAGCGUUACUCGGAAUUACUGGGCGUAAAGCGUGCGUAGGUGGUUCGUUAAGUCUGAUGUGAAAGCCCUGGGCUCAACCUGGGAAUGGCAUUGGAUACUGGCGACCUAGAGUGCGGUAGAGGGGUGUGGAAUUCCCGGUGUAGCAGUGAAAUGCGUAGAUAUCGGGAGGAACAUCUGUGGCGAAGGCGACACCCUGGACCAGCACUGACACUGAGGCACGAAAGCGUGGGGAGCAAACAGG
rnacentral:rRNA from 1 species